rnacentral:rRNA from 1 species
GAUGGACCCGCGGCCCAUUAGCUUGUUGGUAGGGUAACGGCCUACCAAGGCAACGAUGGGUAGCCGGCCUGAGAGGGUGAUCUGCCACACUGGGACUGAGACACGGCCCAGACUCCUACGGGAGGCAGCAGUGGGGAAUCUUGCACAAUGGGCGAAAGCCUGAUGCAGCAACGCCGCGUGGGGGAAGAAGGCCUUAGGGUUGUAAACCUCUGUCGGGAGGGACGAAGCCACCUGCGUUAAUAGCGUAAGGGGUGACGGUACCUCCAAAGGAAGCCCCGGCUAACUACGUGCCAGCAGC